rnacentral:rRNA from 1 species
UGGGGAAUUUUGGACAAUUGGGCGAAAGCCUGAUCCAGCAAUGCCGCGUGUGUGAAGAAGGCCUUCGGGUUGUAAAGCACUUUUGUCCGGAAAGAAAUCCUUGGCUCUAAUACAGUCGGGGGAUGACGGUACCGGAAGAAUAAGCACCGGCUAACUACGUGCCAGCAGCCGCGGUAAUACGUAGGGUGCAAGCGUUAAUCGGAAUUACUGGGCGUAAAGCGUGCGCAGGCGGUUUGCUAAGACCGAUGUGAAAUCCCCGGGCUCAACCUGGGAACUGCAUUGGUGACUGGCAGGCUAGAGUAUGGCAGAGGGGGGUAGAAUUCCACGUGUAGCAGUGAAAUGCGUAGAGAUGUGGAGGAAUACCGAUGGCGAAGGCAGCCCCCUGGGCCAAUACUGACGCUCAUGCACGAAAGCGUGGGGAGCAAACAGGAUUAGAUACCCUGGUAGUCCACGCCCUAAACGAUGUCAACUAGUUGUUGGGGAUUCAUUUCCUUAGUAACGUAGCUAACGCGUGAAGUUGACCGCCUGGGGAGUACGGUCGCAAGAUUAAAACUUCAAAUGAA